rnacentral:rRNA from 1 species
CUAGGAUUAGAUACCCUAUUAUUUAAAAUUUAAAAACUAAAGUAUUAAUAGUUAUGUGCUUUAAAUUUAAAAAAUUUGGCGGUAUUUUAGUCUGUUCAGAGGAACCUGUUUUAUAAUCGAUAUUCCACGUUGGACCUUACUUUAAUUUAUAAAUUAGUUUAUAUACCGUCGUUAUAAAAAAUUUUAUAAGAAUAAUAAUUUUUAAAAUUAAAUAUCAGAUCAAGGUGUAGCUUAUAUUAGAGAAAAUAAUGGGUUACAAUAAAUUUAUUUAUAUGGAAAUAAAUAUGAAAAAUUUAUAAAAAGUGGAUUUGAAAGUAAAAUUAUAAAGAUUAAUAAUUUGAUUUUAGCUCUAAAAUAUGUACAUAUCGCCCGUCACUCUUAUUAUUAAAAUAAGAUAAG